rnacentral:rRNA from 1 species
ACCAGACUCCUACGGGAGGCAGCAGUGGGGGAUAUUGCACAAUGGGGGGAACCCUGAUGCAGCGACGCCGCGUGGGUGAAGAAGCGCCUCGGCGCGUAAAGCCCUGUCAGCAGGGAAGAAAAUGACGGUACCUGAAGAAGAAGCCCCGGCUAACUACGUGCCAGCAGCCGCGGUAAUACGUAGGGGGCAAGCGUUAUCCGGAUUUACUGGGUGUAAAGGGGGCGCAGACGGCGAUGCAAGCCAGGAGUGAAAGCCCGGGGCCCAACCCCGGGACUGCUCUUGGAACUGCGUGGCUGGAGUGCAGGAGGGGCAGGCGGAAUUCCUAGUGUAGCGGUGAAAUGCGUAGAUAUUAGGAGGAACACCAGUGGCGAAGGCGGCCUGCUGGACGAUGACUGACGUUGAGGCUCGAAAGCGUGGGGAGCAAACAGGAUUAGAUACCCUAGUA